AACGAACGCUGGCGGCAUGCCUAACACAUGCAAGUCGAACGAGACCUUCGGGUCUAGUGGCGCACGGGUGCGUAACGCGUGGGAACCUGCCCUUAGGUUCGGAAUAACUCCCCGAAAGGGGUGCUAAUACCGGAUAAUGUCUUCGGACCAAAGAUUUAUCGCCUUUGGAUGGGCCCGCGUUGGAUUAGCUAGUUGGUAGGGUAAAAGCCUACCAAGGCGACGAUCCAUAGCUGGUCUGAGAGGAUGAUCAGCCACACUGGGACUGAGACACGGCCCAGACUCCUCCGGGGGGCAGAAGGGGGGAAAAUGGGACAAUGGGCGAAAGCCUGAUCCAGCAAUGCCGGGGGGGUUGGGAAGGCCUUGGGGUUGUAAAGCUCUUUUACCCGGGAUGAAAAUGACGGAACCGGGAAAAAAAGCCCCGGCUAACCCCGU
rnacentral:rRNA from 1 species